GCCACAUCUCAUUGAAAUACCAAUUCCCGUACAAUCACCAAAGUUAAGCAAUGUCAAGCCUGGCAAGUACCUAGAUGGGUGACCACUUGGGAAUACUAGUUGCUGUAAG